rnacentral:rRNA from 1 species
UAAGGAAUAUUGCUCAAUGGGAGAAAUCCUGAAGCAGCAACGCCGCGUGGAGGAUGAAGGGUCUAUGACAUGUAAACUCCUGUAAAGAAGGAAAAAAUUCCCAUUAGAUGGGAGAUGAUGGUACUUCUGGAGUAAGCCCCGGCUAACUACGUGCCAGCAGCCGCGGUAAUACGUAGGGGGCAAGCGUCGUCCGGAUUUACUGGGUGUAAAGGGUGCUCAGGCGGAUUUGUAAGUCAGAGGUGAAAUCUUACAGCUUAACUGUGAAACUGCCUUUGAUACUGCAAGCCUAGAGUAUGGAAGAGAGUGAUGGAAUAUCUGGUGUAGCAGUGAAAUGCGUAGAUAUCAGAUAGAACACCAAUGGCGAAGGCAGUCACUUGGUCCAUUACUGACGCUAAAGCACGAAAGCGUGGGUAGCAAACA